rnacentral:rRNA from 1 species
AUUGAAGCCCGAGUAAACGGCGGCCGUAACUAUAACGGUCCUAAGGUAGCGAAAUUCCUUGUCGGUUAAAUACCGACCUGCAUGAAUGGCGUAACGAGAUGGGAGCUGUCUCAACCAGAGAUUCAGUGAAAUUGUAGUGGAGGUGAAAAUUCCUCCUACCCGCGGCAAGACGGGAAGACCCC